CGGCAACAGCUCAAAUUUGAAAUCUGGCGCAAGCCCGAGUUGUAAUUUGGAGAGGAUGCUUCUGGGUAGCGGCCGGUCUAAGUUCCUUGGAACAGGACGUCAUAGAGGGUGAGAAUCCCGUAUGCGACCGGCUGGCGCCCUCUACGUAGCUCCUUCGAC
rnacentral:rRNA from 1 species